rnacentral:rRNA from 1 species
CCAGCAUGAGUUAUGUCAUGUUAUCGAUAUGUGAAUACAUAGCAUAUCAGAAGGCACACCCGGAGAACUGAAACAUCUUAGUACCCGGAGGAAGAGAAAGAAAAUUCGAUUCCCUUAGUAGCGGCGAGCGAAACGGGAAGAGCCCAAACCAACAAGCUUGCUUGUUGGGGUUGUAGGACACUCUAUACGGAGUUACAAAGGACGACAUUAGACGAAUCAUCUGGAAAGAUGAAUCAAAGAAGGUAAUAAUCCUGUAGUCGAAAAUGUUGUCUCUCUUGAGUGGAUCCUGAGUACGACGGAGCACGUGAAAUUCCGUCGGAAUCUGGGAGGACCAUCUCCUAAGGCUAAAUACUCUCUAGUGACCGAUAGUGAACCAGUACCGUGAGGGAAAGGUGAAAAGCACCCCGGAAGGGGAGUGAAAUAGAACCUGAAACCGUGUGCUUACAAGUAGUCAGAGCCCGUUAAUGGGUGAUGGCGUGCCUUUUGUAGAAUGAACCGGCGAGUUACGAUUUGAUGCAAGGUUAAGCAGUAAAUGUGGAGCCGUAGCGAAAGCGAGUCUGAAUAGGGCGUUUAGUAUUUGGUCGUAGACCCGAAACCAGGUGAUCUACCCUUGGUCAGGUUGAAGUUCAGGUAACACUGAAUGGAGGACCGAACCGACUUACGUUGAAAAGUGAGCGGAUGAACUGAGGGUAGCGGAGAAAUUCCAAUCGAACCUGGAGAUAGCUGGUUCUCUCCGAAAUAGCUUUAGGGCUAGCCUCAAGUGAUGAUUAUUGGAGGUAGAGCACUGUUUGGACGAGGGGCCCCUCUCGGGUUACCGAAUUCAGACAAACUCCGAAUGCCAAUUAAUUUAACUUGGGAGUCAGAACAUGGGUGAUAAGGUCCGUGUUCGAAAGGGAAACAGCCCAGACCACCAGCUAAGGUCCCAAAAUAUAUGUUAAGUGGAAAAGGAUGUGGCGUUGCCCAGACAACUAGGAUGUUGGCUUAGAAGCAGCCAUCAUUUAAAGAGUGCGUAAUAGCUCACUAGUCGAGUGACACUGCGCCGAAAAUGUACCGGGGCUAAACAUAUUACCGAAGCUGUGGAUUGUCCUUUGGACAAUGGUAGGAGAGCGUUCUAAGGGCGUUGAAGCAUGAUCGUAAGGACAUGUGGAGCGCUUAGAAGUGAGAAUGCCGGUGUGAGUAGCGAAAGACGGGUGAGAAUCCCGUCCACCGAUUGACUAAGGUUUCCAGAGGAAGGCUCGUCCGCUCUGGGUUAGUCGGGUCCUAAGCUGAGGCCGACAGGCGUAGGCGAUGGAUAACAGGUUGAUAUUCCUGUACCACCUAUAAUCGUUUUAAUCGAUGGGGGGACGCAGUAGGAUAGGCGAAGCGUGCGAUUGGAUUGCACGUCUAAGCAGUAAGGCUGAGUAUUAGGCAAAUCCGGUACUCGUUAAGGCUGAGCUGUGAUGGGGAGAAGACAUUGUGUCUUCGAGUCGUUGAUUUCACACUGCCGAGAAAAGCCUCUAGAUAGAAAAUAGGUGCCCGUACCGUAAACCGACACAGGUAGUCAAGAUGAGAAUUCUAAGGUGAGCGAGCGAACUCUCGUUAAGGAACUCGGCAAAAUGACCCCGUAACUUCGGGAGAAGGGGUGCUCUUUAGGGUUAACGCCCAGAAGAGCCGCAGUGAAUAGGCCCAAGCGACUGUUUAUCAAAAACACAGGUCUCUGCUAAACCGUAAGGUGAUGUAUAGGGGCUGACGCCUGCCCGGUGCUGGAAGGUUAAGAGGAGUGGUUAGCUUCUGCGAAGCUACGAAUCGAAGCCCCAGUAAACGGCGGCCGUAACUAUAACGGUCCUAAGGUAGCGAAAUUCCUUGUCGGGUAAGUUCCGACCCGCACGAAAGGCGUAACGAUUUGGGCACUGUCUCAACGAGAGACUCGGUGAAAUCAUAGUACCUGUGAAGAUGCAGGUUACCCGCGACAGGACGGAAAGACCCCGUGGAGCUUUACUGUAGCCUGAUAUUGAAAUUCGGCACAGCUUGUACAGGAUAGGUAGGAGCCUUUGAAACGUGAGCGCUAGCUUACGUGGAGGCGCUGGUGGGAUACUACCCUAGCUGUGUUGGCUUUCUAACCCGCACCACUUAUCGUGGUGGGAGACAGUGUCAGGCGGGCAGUUUGACUGGGGCGGUCGCCUCCUAAAAGGUAACGGAGGCGCUCAAAGGUUCCCUCAGAAUGGUUGGAAAUCAUUCAUAGAGUGUAAAGGCAUAAGGGAGCUUGACUGCGAGACCUACAAGUCGAGCAGGGUCGAAAGACGGACUUAGUGAUCCGGUGGUUCCGCAUGGAAGGGCCAUCGCUCAACGGAUAAAAGCUACCCCGGGGAUAACAGGCUUAUCUCCCCCAAGAGUUCACAUCGACGGGGAGGUUUGGCACCUCGAUGUCGGCUCAUCGCAUCCUGGGGCUGUAGUCGGUCCCAAGGGUUGGGCUGUUCGCCCAUUAAAGCGGUACGCGAGCUGGGUUCAGAACGUCGUGAGACAGUUCGGUCCCUAUCCGUCGUGGGCGUAGGAAAUUUGAGAGGAGCUGUCCUUAGUACGAGAGGACCGGGAUGGACAUACCUCUGGUGUACCAGUUGUCGUGCCAACGGCAUAGCUGGGUAGCUAUGUGUGGACGGGAUAAGUGCUGAAAGCAUCUAAGCAUGAAGCCCCCCUCAAGAUGAGAUUUCCCAACUUCGGUUAUAAGAUCCCUCAAAGAUGAUGAGGUUAAUAGGUUCGAGGUGGAAGCAUGGUGACAUGUGGAGCUGACGAAUACUAAUCGAUCGAAGACUUAAUCAA